UGAGGGCAGAGGUUCAAGCCCCCACAAAAGCAUUUGUGGGGGCUAACGUGCUUAUUUGUUUAAUAUUUCAAAAAUUUCCUCUCCCUCGUGCAAUACGAGUGGAGUAUGGACAUCCAUCUUCUGUAAGGGAUUAUUUGUCUGGGCAUGUACUUCACAGAAUUCAAUGUAAUAAUAUAAGUCCCAAUCAUGUAUUUCUGAUUGUAAAUAUCAGUGUAAUAUAUCUGCUAUAAUAGCAGUUGUAAAUAUCU
rnacentral:lncRNA from 1 species